rnacentral:rRNA from 1 species
AUCUCUUCGACGAGGACCUCUUUGACGAUGAGCUGAGUGCCGAGGCCGGCAACGCCACGCGCAGUUUUCACAUUUGGGUAAACUAUGAAUGGGCCAGUGCGU